AUCCCUGUUAGGUCUGAAAAUGAAAAUAUGCCAUUUCCUCAAAAAAUCUGACAGAUUGCAGCGGGGGUGGUGGAUUGGAUCAGUCAAACGGAACUUGUUGCAGUAGACAUAAGGUGUUUGCUUUUGCUGGCUGGACACUUAGCAAGGUACGAUCUGCUACACUCGACACAUGGCUUCCAGAAUAGGUUGCGUUUAUUCAAACAAUGGGAAAUGAGAAGUCAAAUAGCUACUGGGAAGCAAAACUGCCUCCAAAUUACGACAGA